rnacentral:rRNA from 1 species
AUUGAACGCUGGCGGCAUGCCUUACACAUGCAAGUCGAACGGUAACGGGCCUUCGGGUGCCGACGAGUGGCGAACGGGUGAGUAAUACAUCGGAACGUGCCCGAUCGUGGGGGAUAACGAGGCGAAAGCUUUGCUAAUACCGCAUACGAUCUACGGAUGAAAGCAGGGGACCGCAAGGCCUUGCGCGGACGGAGCGGCCGAUGGCAGAUUAGGUAGUUGGUGGGGUAAAAGCUUACCAAGCCGACGAUCUGUAGCUGGCCUGAGAGGAUGAUCAGCCACACUGGGACUGAGACACGGCCCAGACUCCUACGGGAGGCAGCAGUGGGGAAUUUUGGACAAUGGGCGCAAGCCUGAUCCAGCCAUGCCGCGUGCAGGAUGAAGGCCUUCGGGUUGUAAACUGCUUUUGUACGGAACGAAAAGCCUUCUUUUAAUACAGGAGGGUCAUGACGGUACCGUAAGAAUAAGCACCGGCUAACUACGUG